CGUUGUUCGGAUUUACUGGGCGUAAAGGGCGCGUAGGCGGCGUAGUAAGUCAGCUGCGAAAUCUCCGAGCUUAACUCGGAACGGUCAGCUGAUACUGCUGUGCUAGAGUACAGAAAGGGCAAUCGGAAUUCUUGGUGUAGCGGUGAAAUGCGUAGAUAUCAAGAGGAACACCUGAGGCGAAGGCGGGUUGCUAGGCUGAUACUGACGCUGAUGCGCGAAAGCUAGGGUAGCAAACGGGAUUAGAUACCCCGGUAGUCCUAGCCCUAAACGAUGAAUGCUUGGUGUCUGGAGAUUCUACGCUCUCCGGGUGUCGCACUAACGCUUUUAGCAUUCCGCCUNGGGAGUACGCACGCAA
rnacentral:rRNA from 1 species